rnacentral:lncRNA from 1 species
AAAAAAGUAGCAAUAAAACAUUUCCCUCUUGUUGGGGAUUUAUGCAGAGUUAAAUUCCAAAAGUCCUUGAAAACAUUUCAUACAUUGCAUCGCAUAACAUAACAUUGCAUAACAGGUGUUCUAAAAGACCAUAUUCUCACGGUCUGCCUCUUAAACAGAAAAAUGGAUCUCGAACAGACUGUCAAAGAUCUCCAGACUCAGA